AGCGAUAGGCUUAACACAUGCAAGUCGAGGGGCAGCAUGGUCUUAGCUUGCUAAGACUGAUGGCGACCGGCGCACGGGUGCGUAACGCGUAUGCAACUUGCCUCACAGAGGGGGAUAACCCGUCGAAAGACGGACUAAUACCGCGUACACUUGGGAUAGAGCAUCCUGACCCAAGGAAAUGAAAUUCGCUGUGAGAUAGGCAUGCGUCCCAUUAGCUAGUUGGUGAGGUAACGGCUCACCAAGGCGACGAUGGGUAGGGGAACUGAGAGGUUGAACCCCCACACUGGUACUGAGACACGGACCAGACUCCUACGGGAGGCAGCAGUGAGGAAUAUUGGUCAAUGGGCGAGAGCCUGAACCAGCCAAGUCGCGUGAAGGAUGACUGUCUUAUGGAUUGUAAACUUCUUUUAUACGGGAAUAACAAGAGCCACGUGUGGCUCCCUGCAUGUACCGUAUGAAUAAGCAUCGGCUAACUCCGUGCCAGCAGCCGCGGUAAUACGGAGGAUGCGAGCGUUAUCCGGAUUUAUUGGGUUUAAAGGGUGCGUAGGCGGCCUGUUAAGUCAGCGGUGAAAUCUAGGAGCUUAACUCCUAAAUUGCCAUUGAUACUGGCGGGCUUGAGUGUAGAUGAGGUAGGCGGAAUGCGUGGUGUAGCGGUGGAAUGCAUAGAUAUCACGCAGAACUCCGAUUGCGAAGGCAGCUUACUAAGGUACAACUGACGCUGAAGCACGAAAGCGUGGGUAUCAAACAGGAUUAGAUACCCUGGUAGUCCACGCAGUAAACGAUGAUAACUGGGCGUAUGCGAUAUACAGUAUG
rnacentral:rRNA from 1 species